AGUGAACGCUGGCGGCGUACUUAACACAUGCAAGUCGAACGAGAACGGAUUAUAGCUUGCUAUAAUUGUCAGCUAAGUGGCGCACGGGUGAGUAAUGUAUAGGUAAUAUGCCUCUUACUAAGGGAUAACAAAUGGAAACGUUUGCUAAUACCUUAUACUCCUUAUUAACAGAAGUUAAUAAGGGAAAGAUUUAUUGGUAAGAGAUUAGCCUGUAUUGUAUCAGUUAGUUGGUGGGGUAAUGGCUUACCAAGACUAUGACACAUAACUGGUUUGAGAGGAUGAUCAGUCACACUGGAACUGAGACACGGUCCAGACUCCUACGGGAGGCAGCAGUGGGGAAUAUUGCACAAUGGACGAAAGUCUGAUGCAGCAACGCCGCGUGGAGGAUGACACAUUUCGGUGCGUAAACUCCUUUUAUAUGAGAAGAUAAUGACGGUAUUAUAUGAAUAAGCACCGGCUAACUCCGUGCCAGCCGCCGCGGUAAUAC
rnacentral:rRNA from 1 species